rnacentral:rRNA from 1 species
UGAGGAAUAUUGGUCAAUGGGAGCAAUCCUGAACCAGCAAUGCCGCGUGUGGGAUGAAGGCGCUUCGCGUCGUAAACCACUGUCGGACGGGACGAAAAGAGCUAUGAAGCUCCGAGACGGUACCGUCAAAGGAAGGAUCGGCUAACUACGUGCCAGCAGCCGCGGUAAUACGUAGGAUCCAAGCGUUGUCCGGAUUUACUGGGUAUAAAGGGUGCGUAGGCGGUCUUGUGCGUCAGAGGUGAAAUAUCCGGGCUUAACCCGGAGGGUGCCUUUGAUACGGCAGGACUUGAGUACGAGAGAGGAUGAUGGAAUUCCUGGUGUAGCGGUGAAAUGCGUAGAUAUCAGGAGGAACACCGGUGGCGAAGGCGGUCAUCUGGCUCGUAACUGACGCUGAGGCACG